rnacentral:rRNA from 1 species
UGAAGCACGGACCAAGGAGUUUAACAUGUGCGCGAGUCAUUGGGAGAACCAAACUCAAAGGCGUAAUGAAAGUGAAGGUUUGAUUUGCAAACUUGAGGAGAGAUCCCUAACUUUAGUUUUGGUUCCGAAAGGUUCUUGAGGCUAGAGCGGGCGCAUCUCCGGGACGUCUAUACCUUCGAAGGUUGGGCGUACCUAGAGCGUACACGUUGGGACCCGAAAGAUGGUGAACUAUGCCUGGUCAGAACGAAGUCAGGGGAAACUCUGAUGGAGGUUCGUAGCGAUUCUGACGUGCAAAUCGAUCGUCAGAACUGGGUAUAGGGGCGAAAGACUAAUCGAACCAUCUAGUAGCUGGUUCCUUCCGAAGUUUCCCUUAGGAUAGCUGGCACUCGUUUUUAACCAGUCUCAUCCGGUAAAGCGAAUGAUUAGAGGCCUUGGGAACGAAACGUUUUCAACCUAUUCUCAAACUUUAAAUGGGUGAGAAGUCGAGCUUGCUUAAUUGAACCUUCAACAAUGGAUGGAGAGUGCCAAGUGGGCCACUCUUGGUAACCAAAACUGGCCCUGUGGG